GAGGUGUGUCGUUCAGUAGGCGUGUCGUUCAGUAGGCGUGUCGUUCAGUAGGCGUGUCGUUCAGGAGGCGUGUCGUUCAGUAGGCGUGUCGUUCAGUAGGCGUGUCGUACGUUCACAGUAGGCGUGUCGUUCAGUAGGCGUGUCGUUCAGUAGGCGUGUCGUUCAGUAGGCGUGUCGUUCAGGAGGCGUGUCGUUCAGGAGGCGUGUCGUUCAGUAGGCGUGUCGUUCAGUUGUCGUUCAGUAGGCGUGUCGUUCAGUAGGCGUGUCGUUCAGGAGGUGUG